rnacentral:lncRNA from 1 species
UACAAUAGACACAAUUCACUUGACAUAUUAAAUUUUUUGUCCACAGCAAGUUCCAAGAAAAUAAUAAACCUAAUAAGAAUCUAAAUAAACGUGCUUCACUAUAAUUAGUAACCAAGAUAUUAACUUAGUUACGAGACUCAUAUAUCUCUAUCUUAGGAGCAUCUACAUAGCAUUUUCCCAUGGAUUAUUCUUCUUCCCAAUAUUAAUUUUGCCCCAAUAAGUAGUCUUUGUGAUGUUGCUUCUCUUCUUAUUGGAAAAAAAAUCCUUCAAGCAUGUCUUCUAAGAUCUGGUUCAGCUUCUCUUCACUUAUUCUUUCCCUAGCAAGCAGCAAUCUUAAGGCUUCUCUUCAUCUGUAAAAUUAAUGUUGAAUAUUAGAAUAAGAACAGUUAUGCUAUAUCCAUAAAUAAUGUCAAAUAUCAUCCCUUACCAUGCGGGCUCUCUUCAGCAGCAACAGCACCGCCAUUUAUAGUGUUGCUACUAACCUCAACAACUUCACUAUUGUAGCAACAAUAGCAACACCAGCUUCAGCAUCUUCAGCAAUCACGCCAUCUUCAUGCUCUUCAGCAACAUCGCAAUCUUCAAGAUUUUCAAGAGUCUAAGGCUCUAUCAUCAAAAUUCAAAACUACUUUCAACUUAAUUUGAAGGAUAAAGGAAAUUUAAAUAGAGUGGAAAACAGUGCAUCCAAAUGGGUGUGAUAGGAAUUUCAAAUGCACUCCACUCUCACUGUGGCUUCUCCUAAUCCAUUCAUUCAUUUCUUCCAUUUAAGGAGGCCAUCACCAUUCACCCCUCAAUGUUAUUGCAUGCAAUUACCAAAAUGCGUUCUGAGCACCCAAUGAGAAGAUGUGAGACAUGAAUAAGUAUGCAUGAAUUCACAAGAAGGCAUAUAAAAUCUUAAGUAAAGCACCAUAUUUCAAACUUCUCAUAUCAUUCCUAGGACAAAAUCGGGUCAAAAAAUACAACUUUGCAAUCAUGAGUAACACUAGCGUUUAAUUGUAAUUAACCUAAUUCAAUAAAUUGUCAUAACCUAAUUCAAUAAAUUGUCAUCGUUACUUCAGGUUCCACAGUAUUCAAACUCUUAAUACAGCAACCCAGCACGAAAUAGGAACUAUGCAGUUAACAAGAUAUAUUAACACAUAAGCUAUACCGAGCAUUUUAAGUUACUUCAUGUUAAAGUUAUUUAAUCAUACUUCAGAUACCCAUAUUAUCAAAACAUGCCCCCUUCAAUUAAGGGUCUGUAACCUAUGCCUAGGUAAUAUAUAUUUUUUAAGGAAUAUAACCAGAAUUUGCUCCUUUAACUUCCACAAGCCGUGCACUCUUCAUGGUUUGUUGGAGAGCAAACCAUCUGUGCCAUCUUGGUUUCAUCAUCAGCCACCAACUCAGGCUUUCCCUGAAUCACCAAGAGUUGGAAAAGUGAAACAUU